ensembl:snoRNA
AGCGUUUGUAUGUGUCUUUAUUAGACUAAUACAUAAAGACUUAAGAUAGGUAUAAGAAAAAACCCUCUUUUGCAACCAGAGCUCAUUGUUAAGUGUGAGUUUUGAUACAUAUAAAAAGUAAUAUG